rnacentral:tRNA from 1 species
GUGUAGCUCAGGGGUAGAGCGAUACCUUGCAAGGUAUCGCUCGAGGGUUCGAAGCCCAUCACUACACG